rnacentral:rRNA from 1 species
CUCAGUUCGGACUGGAGUCUGCAACCCGACUCCACGGAAGCUGGAUUCGCUAGUAAUCGCGCAUCAGCCACGGCGCGGUGAAUACGUUCCCGGGCCUUGUACACACCGCCCGUCAAGCCAUGGGAGCCGGGGGUACCUGAAGUGCGUAACCGCGAGGAGCGCCCUAGGGUAAAACUGGUGACUGGGGCUAAGUCGUAACAAGGUAAC